rnacentral:lncRNA from 1 species
CGAAGUAUAAGUCGUACCCAACCAGAUAGAUAAAUACAUAAAUCCCUAAUACAAGCUUACAAGCCAAGUAAUCGAAUUAGGGUUUACACAUUUUCCACCUUCAAGUGGCAACCCAAAAAGGAAAAUACAUUAUCCCAAAUAACACAUUACAGCCCACAGAAUAAGUUAUAGUAUUCAAUUACAGUCCAAAAGAAAAACAUAAGUAAGCAUCCCGUUUUCAGUUACCAGAACCUGUUAAGGAAAACAAUAAACGUGGGGUGAGCUAAAACUCAGUGGUGCCCCAAACAUGCAAUCACUUAAAUCAAACAACGAGUAAUAAUUUAAUCAAAUUGAACAGUUAGGAAAGCGUGUAACAGCACAAGGUAGGAUACAGGGGCUCUCAGGAGCCAUUUUCCACGCUUGAUCAGAUACCAUCGCAGUUGACCCUCCGUCAACUUUCACUACUUAUAGUCCAUGUAGAUCCACUUAUUUUAAUCCUAACCCGUCACCAUUCAUACCCCUGUCCCGGGCCCGCUCACCGACUAAGGACGUAGUAUCCUCGAGAUAUACCCGUCACAGUAGUUGGAUACAGAAGUCGAGGGAUUCACCCAACGACGCAACUACAUUUUAGAUUUAUGGUAGUUGGAUACAAAAGCCGAGAGAUUCACCCAACGACGCAACUACAUUUUAGAUUUAUGGUAGUUGGAUACAGAAGCCGAGGGAUUCACCCAACGACGCAACUACAUUUAGAUUUAUGGUAGUUGGAUACAGAAGCCGAGGGAUUCACCCAACGACGCAACUACAUUUAGAUUUAUGGAUUCAGGAGAAAAUGUUUUUUGCACAAGUCACCACUCGAACGGCUAGUGCGAUAAAGUACACACAGCUCACUUCGAUGGAUCAGAAACCAAUUUUUCAAAUUAUCACAUAUCAAGUCAAGAAGGUACUUUAAGCAGGUAAGCAUAGAACAGGCAGGGACACUCACCCAAAAGUGAAGUUCAGAGUUCAAGCUGGGAUUCAAAAUUCCACGUCCUCGCUAUACCCUAGAAAUCCAGAAUUUAAAACUAUAAGUGUUGUUGUACGGUUCUUGGUUUAUAAAUACAAAGUUAUCUGGUAUAUAACUAGUUUAUCUACUCCAAAUAAAUUAACAAUUUCCCUAGAGUUAAACUAGUGAAAGUGAUGAAAUACUUCAUAGGAUUUCUUUCUUUCUAGAGGUGCAAACCAGAACCAAUUUGCUUUGAAUAAGAUUUCUUGCCAAACAAGUUUUCUGCGCCUUUUAUUUAAAAUUAUUAAAAUCAAGUUUGACCUUUAAAGUACAAAUAUAACACUUUCAAUUUCUAUUCAAGUUCCAGGUUUAUAACUAUAAAGGUUUAUCGAGUAUAUAACUAGUUUAUCGUUUCGAAGUAAAUUCAAAGAUCUACUUAAGUUGAAACUUGGCAAAAGUAGAAGAAAUGUUUUUAUAGUUUUCUUUAAGAUACUUUUCCUUAUAAAAGGUAACUAGUAUUAUUUUCUUGAAAUAAGUCGACACACCUCUUAAUAUCAAUGUUAGAAAGUUACUUUGAACAUUCCUCUAAAGUUACGGAUUUUGCAGAAAUUAUCCUUAAAAACUAUUUUUCCUAAAAUAGGGUUUCUUGCCGAGCAAGUUUCCCAAGCUUUUCACUAAAAUUAGUAAAACUCGUAUUUUGGAACUUUUCCUAUAGUUAACUAUCCAAGUGCAAAGCUUAAGGAAAGAAAAGGAAUUAAAAUAAGACUUAGAGUUUUCAAAAGCUAUAGAACUUAUUUAUUAUAGCUAUCAAGGCUAGUUUGAGCUAAAGGAAAUUAUCGAGUUGGAAAGUUUUAGGCAAAACACUAGAUAUGGAGUUUUAUAAUAUAAUACUAGCUGGAAAAAUAUUUUUUGAUUAAUUUGAUCACAGUUACUCGAGUUCGCAAGGUCGAUACAACUUCCACAGCUCCGAUUCCGUUUCGAAAUCAUAAUAUGGAUCAAAAUAUGGCAAAAAUCACAUAUCAAAUUACUAGGGCUUCGUCAAUCAUUAGCCCUAGAUUUCAACAAGUGCAUUUCUGAAUAAAAUAAAAUGAUCAACCAAGGCUUCAUCAAUCAUUAGCACUUGGUUUCAGCAAGCCCAUCAUAAGCAAAUAAAAAUAAAAGUAAGGCCUCCAAGACAUUCCAGUAAUUAACUUUCAUCAUCCAGUAGUACUUAUAAAGUCAUUCAAAUGGCCAAGGGUUUCAUCAAUCAUUAGCUCUUGACAACCAAUACACACUUUCAAAUACCAAUUCAUUCAAAACAAGAACAAAAACUACAACCAACUUGAGAUCCAAAUGAUUCCAAGAAUCUAAAAUAUCCAUUAAACUUUCCACUUUUAUUUGCUAGAAUCACUAUACAUAUAGAUUAUAAUCUGUCCAAACCAAGCUAAAGCAAAUAAUACACAAAUCCAGCAAAUAAACUCACCAAAAGUCCCAACCAGUUCGGUCAUGCUGGAAAAAUAUUUUCCUUCAAAAAUUGCUUUAGUUCAUGUUCCACAAAUCAAAACAAUUAUGAAAGUUAUACUGUUGUAGAAUAGAUUUUUAAAUACUAUCACAUCCCAGAAGACACUUUUCAGAGAUUCAAAUUACAAAUGGCCAAAUAUUCUAUCCAAGUCAAGAAUUCUGUUUCCUGAGGAAACAGGACAUUCAAACAGGACAGCCUACUUUGAGGAAUCACGGACAACAGUACAAAUGGAGGAAAAAUAUGAAAUUUCUACAAAACAAAGGCCCAUGACUCUAGUUUCAAAUGCCACUGACGGCACCUCAAUCGGAUUUUCCUACACCAAGAUAUAAGCAUUUUACUGAGACUGGUCAGAGAAAUCCGAAAAUCUGGAAACUCAUUUUUCACUUGUGAAAAACUCCUUUUCCUCUUUGAAAACCAUAAGACUCUUAUUCAAACCAUCAUACAUUUAAGUAUGACAUUCAUACCAGCAUAUAUCAAAGCAAAUAACGCUUAAUUCCCAUAAAUUAUUCCACCAAAAAGUCCCCAUAAAUCUGUCAUCAGCUAAGAUAAAAUUUGCCAGCAAUUGAUAGUUUAUUUAUAUCGCUUUUGUUCCUAGUUUUCUUCAAUUCUUACCUCAGCUCAACAUGCAACAGGUGAUUAGCAAGCCUCAAGCAAAUCUUAAACAUCCAAUACGAAAAUCUGAAUUGAAAUUCGAAAACAAAACUAGUUAAAUGCUCACUUCCUUCUCUCGACCAAGCUGGAAUAUUUUGCAGCAGAAAAUUUCCCUCGGUUUCAAUCCACAAUUCAACUUUUCCUCAGAUUUUCUUCCAUUAAGCUUCACUUAAUACUUAAAGCUAACAAUCUAUAUGCAAUUCAUAACAAAAUUUUCCACUUGACAGCAAUUACAAAUGCAAACAAACAUGAAGUCUCUCGGCUAUUCCAGAAAAUUUCCAGCAGCUAAGUUAGACGCAAAUCUGGAUUUUCUUCAGCUGAAACCUUGUAUUAAGUACUCAAAACCAACAUGCAUGACUAAUUAAUGGAAUUACUAUCAGCUCUGGUUUAAAUCAAGUUCGGACAGCAACUACUAUCAUCCACAAUUCCAGAAUUUUCCAACAAGUCUCGGAUGAAACAUGCAUGUAGCAGAUUCGGUUUCUUUUUAUUUUAUUUCUCUUGCUUAGCCGGUCUGAUAAUUUCAUGCAAAGCUUAACCUUCUGAUUUUAAUUAGUCAAGCACCUACCCAAGUGAAAGUCAACCAUUUUCCAGCAAAUUUCCAGAAACAAGCUGCAAUUCCAGCUUCAAACUUUCGACAGCUUUAAUUCUUUUCCAAAUCAGAUUUCUUAAGUCACAAAUCCUCAUCUAACCUCACAAGCACCACAUGCAAGUCCAUAGCUGACCUCACUUGCCUAUAACCAACUAAUUUCAGCUCAGAAGUUACCUCAAAUGGAGCUCACACACACGGUUAGCAGCAGAAAUAAUCCUCCUCCCUUCGGCAGCCCAAAAAUGCAGACCACUAGCUCUCUCUCUCCCUUGCUCUGGGUGGCGGCUGGAAUGGAGAAAGUUCAGCCCUCAGUCCCUUCACCAGCUCACGGUUAGAAGGACGAUGCUCAGCUAGACUCUCUCCUCUCUCUCUAGUUUGCGGACAGAAAGGAGCAAAAGAAAUUAAACAGCUCGGUUCUUGCUCCUGUCGAUGAUACCGAGACAAGGAGUGAUGUGAAUUGAAAUGGUAUUAUGAAGUGUUGGAGUUGCCGAAAUGAGAAGCUAAGCCGUGGAUGAGGAAUUGCAGUGGUUUCGGUGGAGUUGUGCAGAGGAAAUG